GGGAGUGUGGCCGAGUGGUUAUGGCGCGUGACUCAAGUAUGAUCUUUGUAUCAACUUACAGAAGGCUUUAAAAUCUUCUGGAUUUCUCGUAGGGAAACCUGCAGGGGUUCGAAUCCCCUCGCUCUCA